GCCGGUGUAGCGCUGGUGGCAGACCAGCUGAUGCGUAAUCAGCAGGUCGGAGGUUCGAGUCCUCUCGCCGGCACCA
rnacentral:tRNA from 1 species